rnacentral:lncRNA from 1 species
CCACAACUACCAAUUCCCCACUCAACUAUAUAAUUCAAGAAUCCGUCAUUAGGUCAUUAGUCCAUUAGUACUGGAAGUCUUGAUAGCCUUACCUCUCCUUCCUAUACUAAAAUACUCCCCAGAACUCCAGGCGCAAGGAUUGACAGUCUUUUAACCUCCAGUUUCUAAAAAUCAAGCAAGUAUUGAAGUUCGAGUCUUUUUCCUCUGCUUAUGCUAGGCAAGGAUUGGCAAAUUGUAUUCUAUCAGCAAGCAAGCAAGG